rnacentral:rRNA from 1 species
GUCCACGCCCUAAACGAUGUCAACUAGGUGUUGGGUGGGUAAAACCAUUUAGUACCGGAGCUAACGCGUGAAGUUGACCGCCUGGGGAGUACGGCCGCAAGGUUAAAACUCAAAGGAAUUGACGGGGACCCGCACAAGCGGUGGAUGAUGUGGAUUAAUUCGAUGCAACGCGAAAAACCUUACCUACCCUUGACAUGUCCAGAAGCCUGAAGAGAUUUUGGGGUGCCCGAAAGGGAACUGGAACACAGGUGCUGCAUGGCUGUCGU